rnacentral:rRNA from 1 species
GUUGUGUACUGUCUUCUCCAGGUCUUUCCUUCUGGUUCUCAUUUGGGGUUUACUCCAUUUGUUGAUCCAGGAUUUUUACUUUGAAAAAAUUAGAGUGUUCAAAGCAGGCGUUUUGCUCGAAUAUAUUAGCAUGGAAUAAUAGAAUAGGACGCGUGGUUCUAUUUUGUUGGUUUCUAGGACCGCCGUAAUGAUUAAUAGGGACAGUCGGGGGCAUCAGUAUUCGAUUGUCAGAGGUGAAAUUCUUGGAUCUAUUGAAGACUAACUACUGCGAAAGCAUUUGCCAAGGAUGUUUUCAUUGAUAAGGAACGAAAGUUAGGGGAUCGAAGACGAUCAGAUACCGUCGUAGUCUUAACUAUAAACUAUGCCGACUAGGGAUCGGACGAUGUUAUUUCUUGACGCGUUCGGCACCUUUCGAGAAAUCAAAGUGCUUGGGCUCCAGGGGGAGUAUGGUCGCAAGGCUGAAACUUAAAGAAAUUGACGGAAGGGCACCACCAGGGGUGGAACCUGCGGCUUAAUUUGACUCAACACGGGGAAACUCACCAGGUCCAGACACAGUGAGGAUUGACAGAUUGAGAGCUCUUUCUUGAUUCUGUGGGUGGUGGUGCAUGGCCGUUCUUAGUUGGUGGAGUGAUUUGUCUGCUUAAUUGCGAUAACGAACGAGACCUUAACCUGCUAAAUAGCCCGUACUGCUCUGGCAGUUCGCCGGCUUCUUAGAGGGACUAUCGG